rnacentral:rRNA from 1 species
AAUGGAGGAAACUCUGAUGCAGCGAUGCCGCGUGAGAGAAGAAGGCCUUUGGGUUGUAAAGCUCUUUCGUCGGGGAAGAAAAUGACGGUACCCGAAUAAGAAGGUCCGGCUAACUUCGUGCCAGCAGCCGCGGUAAUACGAAGGGACCUAGCGUAGUUCGGAAUUACUGGGCUUAAAGAGUUCGUAGGUGGUUAAAAAAGUUGGUUGUGAAAUCCCGAAGCUUAACUUCGGAACUGCAAUCAAAACUUUUUAGCUAGAGUAUGAUAGAGGAAAGCAGAAUUUCUAGUGUAGAGGUGAAAUUCGUAGAUAUUAGAAAGAAUACCAAUUGCGAAGGCAGCUUUCUGGAUCAUUACUGACGCUGAGGAACGAAAGCAUGGGUAGCGAAGAGGAUU